rnacentral:rRNA from 1 species
UGAAUACGAGACGCUACGGCGUCGAAGCAGUCUAUGUCAUACUUCCAAGAAAAGCUCGCAAUGUCAUAAACAAAUAAUGCCUGUACCAUAACCGACACAGGUGGGUAGGUAGAGUAUACUAAGGGGCGCGAGAUAACUCUCUCUAAGGAACUCGGCAAAAUGACUCCGUAACUUCGGGAGAAGGAGUGCCUUAUUUAUAAGGUUGCAAUAACAAGAUCCAAGCAACUGUUUAUCAAAAACACAGGUCUCCGCUAAGUCGUAAGACGAUGUAUGGGGGCUGACGCCUGCCCAGUGCCAGAAGGUUAAAGAAGUUGGUUAGCAUUCGCGAAGCUGAUAACUGAAGCCCUGGUGAACGGCGGCCGUAACAAUAACGGUCCUAAGGUAGCGAAAUUCCUUGUCGGGUAAGUUCCGACCCGCACGAAAGGCGUAAUGAUUUGGAUACUGUCUCGGAGAGGGGCUCGGUGAAAUAGACUUGUCUGUGAAGAUGCGGACUACCUGCACCUGGACAGAAAGACCCUAUGAAGCUUUACUGUAACUUGAAAUUGAAAUUGGACUUUAUUUGCGCAGCAUAGGUGGGAGGCGUUGAGAGUAUUCUUGCGGGAAUAUUGGAGCCAUCAGUGAGAUACCACUCUUGUAAUGUUAGAUUUCUAACUUUGGAUCAUUAUCUGGUCAAAGAACAGUUUCAGGCGGGCAGUUUGACUGGGGCGGUCGCCUCCCAAAUGGUAACGGAGGCGUACAAAGGUUUCCUCUGAACGGGUAGAAAUCGUAUCUAGAGUGUAAAGGCAUAAGGAAGCUUGACUGUGAGACCUACAAGUCGAGCAGGGACGAAAGUCGGUCUUAGUGAUCUGACGGUGCUGAGUGGAAAGGCCGUCACUCAACGGAUAAAAGUUACUCUAGGAUAACAGGCUGAUCUCCCCCAAGAGUUCACAUCGACGGGGAGGUUUGGCACCUCGAUGUCGGCUCAUCGCAUCCUGGGGCGGUAGUACGUCCCAAGGGUUGGGCUGUUCGCCCAUGAAAGCGGUACGCGAGCUGGGUUCAGAACGUCGUGAGACAGUUCGGUCCAUAUCCGGUGUAGGCGUUAGAAUAUUGAGAGGAGCCUUCUUUAGUACGAGAGGACCGAGAAGGACAUACCUCUGGUGUACCAGUUAUCGUGCCAACGGUAAACGCUGGGUAGCUAUGUAUGGAGAGGAUAACCGCUGAAAGCAUCUAAGUGGGAAGCCCACCUCAAGAUAAGUAUUCUC